rnacentral:rRNA from 1 species
GAUCCUGGCUCAGGAUGAACGCUAGCGGCAGGCCUAACACAUGCAAGUCGAGGGGCAGCACGGUGUAGCAAUACACUGGUGGCGACCGGCGCACGGGUGCGUAACGCGUACGCAACCUACCCAUAACAGGGGGAUAACACUGAGAAAUUGGUACUAAUACCCCAUAACAUCAGGACCGGCAUCGGUUCUGGUUGAAAACUCCGGUGGUUAUGGAUGGGCAUGCGUUGUAUUAGCUGGUUGGUGAGG